rnacentral:rRNA from 1 species
UACGGAGGGUGCGAGCGUUGUCCGGAAUCACUGGGCGUAAAGGGCGCGUAGGCGGCGCGGGUAGUCAUCGGUGAAAGUUCAGGGCUCAACUCUGAAUCGGCCGGUGAUACUCCCGUGCUCGAGCACUGUAGAGGCAGGUGGAAUUCCGGGUGUAGCGGUGGAAUGCGUAGAGAUCCGGAAGAACACCGGUGGCGAAGGCGGCCUGCUGGGCAGUAGCUGACGCUGAGACGCGAAAGCGUGGGGAGCGAACAGG